rnacentral:rRNA from 1 species
AGCAGCCGCAGUAAUUCCAGCUCCAAUAGCGUAUAUUAAAGUUGUUGCAGUUAAAAAGCUCGUAGUUGAAUUUCGGAAUCAGUACGCCAGUCAUGCUUCGGUAUGUACUAGUGUCACUGAUUCCUUCCUUCUGACGAACCGUCAUGCCAUUAAUUUAGUGUGAUGUGAAUCAGGACUGUUACUUUGAAAAAAUUAGAGUGUUUAAAGAAGGCUCGCGCUUGAAUACAUUAGCAUGGAAUAAUGAAAUAGGACGUUUGAUCUUAUUUUGUUGGUUUCUAGGGUCGAUGUAAUGAUUAAUAGGGAUAGUUGGGGGCAUUAGUAUUCAAUUGUCAGAGGUGAAAUUCUUGGAUUUAUUGAAGACUAACUACUGCGAAAGCAUUUGCCAAGGAUGUUUUC